rnacentral:rRNA from 1 species
CGCGUAGGCGGGACGUCAAGUUAGGGGUGAAAGGCCUGGGCUCAACCUAGGAACUGCCUCUAAAACUGGCGAUCUAGAGUCCGGGAGAGGAUGGCGGAAUUCCCAGUGUAGAGGUGAAAUUCGUAGAUAUUGGGAAGAACACCAGUGGCGAAGGCGGCCAUCUGGUCCGGCACUGACGCUGAGGCGCGAAAGCGUGGGGAGCAAACA